UACAGAGGGUGCGAGCGUUGUCCGGAAUCACUGGGCGUAAAGGGCGCGUAGGCGGCCCCAGUACGCGUGCCGUGAAAGCCCGGGGCUCAACCCCGGGUCGGCGGUGCGAACGGGGCGACUGGAGCACGUCAGAGGCAGGUGGAAUUCCGGGUGUAGCGGUGGAAUGCGUAGAGAUCCGGAAGAACACCGGUGGCGAAGGCGGCCUGCUGGGACGUGGCUGACGCUGAGGCGCGACAGCGUGGGGAGCAAACAGG
rnacentral:rRNA from 1 species